rnacentral:rRNA from 1 species
AUUGAACGCUGGCGGCAUGCCUAACACAUGCAAGUCGAACGGUAAGGCCCUUCGGGGUACACGAGUGGCGAACGGGUGAGUAACACGUGGGUGAUCUGCCCUGCACUUUGGGAUAAGCCUGGGAAACUGGGUCUAAUACCGAAUACACCCUGCUGGUCGCAUGGCCUGGUGGGGGAAAGCUUUUGCGGUGUGGGAUGGGCCCGCGGCUUAUCAGCUUGUUGGUGGGGUGAUGGCCUACCAAGGCGACGACGGGUAGCCGGCCUGAGAGGGUGGCCGGCCACACUGGGACUGAGGUACGGCCCAGACUCCUACGGGAGGCAGCAGUGGGGAAUAUUGCACAAUGGGCGCAAGCCUGAUGCAGCGACGCCGCGUGAGGGAUGACGGCCUUCGGGUUGUAAACCUCUUUCAAUAGGGACGAAGCGCAAGUGACGGUACCUAUAGAAGAAGGACCGGCCAACUACGUGCCAGCAGCCGCCGUAA